ACCAGUUCUCCCUUUGUAAAUAACACACUGUGGAGCUCAAAUGCAUUUGUCUUCCUUGCUGACAAAACCUGGGGUUUAUGGGUCUGUCGUGCAGCUGCUAAUCUCAGGGAUGUCUGACUAUGCGACAUCAGUUCUCCCACCAGCCUGCAAGGCUUCUAUUCAGAAUAAUGGAUGGGUUCCUUGAGCUCAGUGCAGUCGAUGUCAUGACAUGUUGGUACAUUUCUAGACUGUCACUUACAAUGGCUCACUGCACAGAAAAGGGCCCUCAACAGAAGAGCUGGACACCAUAUGAUGAUGCCUUUAGAUCCUAUUGAGAGCUAUCGACCUAUCAGCACUGGAAACCAGGUGGCUGUGUGCCUGCCCUGCUCUGGUAUGUGGGUACCUCCCCCAGAGUUUCCUGGAUCUGCCCUGCACCCAGCAAUCAUGUGCCUGCUGCAUUUGGCUGGGAUCUUCUUUGGAAGCAAAGAUGGUUGUGACUUUAACAUGGUUGCCAAAAUUUUAGUAGGUUUUAAUGCUCUUCAACAAGUUAACAUUAAUUUAAACAUGGUCUUGUUUUUCCUCUGUAUUAAAAAAAAUAAUUCUGAAAUAACUUUUGGAAUUAUUCUUGUUUUGCUUUUU